GUGGGGAAUCUUAGACAAUGGGGGAAACCCUGAUCUAGCCAUGCCGCGUGAGCGAUGAAGGCCUUAGGGUUGUAAAGCUCUUUCAGCUGGGAAGAUAAUGACGGUACCAGCAGAAGAAGCCCCGGCUAACUCCGUGCCAGCAGCCGCGGUAAUACGGAGGGGGCUAGCGUUGUUCGGAAUUACUGGGCGUAAAGCGCGCGUAGGCGGUGCAGAAAGUUGGAGGUGAAAUCUCAGGGCUCAACCUUGGAACUGCCUUCAAAACUCCUGGUGUGGGGUUCGAGAGAGGGGAGUGGAAUUCCGAGUGUAGAGGUGAAAUUCGUAGAUAUUCGGAGGAAAACCAGUGGCGAAGGCGGCUCACUGGCUCGAUACUGACGCUGAGGUGCGAAAGCGUGGGGAGCAAACAGGAUUAGAUACCCUAGUAGUCC
rnacentral:rRNA from 1 species